rnacentral:misc_RNA from 1 species
GAAAUGCGAUAAGUAAUGUGAAUUGCAGAAUUCAGUGAAUCAUCGAAUCUUUGAACGCACCUUGCGCUCCUUGGUAUUCCUUGGAGCAUGCCUGUUUGAGUAUCAUGAAAUCUUCAAAGUAAAUGUUUUGUUAACUCAAUUGGUUUCUACUUUGGUAUUGGAGGUCUUUGCAGCUUCACACCUGCUCCUCUUUGUUCAUUAGCUGGAUCUCAGUGUUAUGCUUGGUUCCACUCGGCGUGAUAAGUUAUCUAUCGCUGAGGACACUGUAAAAGGUGGCCAAGGUAAAUGCAGAUGAACCGCUUCUAAUAGUCCAUUGACUUGGACAAUACUUUUAUGAUCUGAUCUCAAAUCAGGUAGGACUACCCGCUGAACUUAAGC